rnacentral:rRNA from 1 species
UGCCAGCCGCCGCGGUAAUACGGAGGGGGUUAGCGUUGUUCGGAACUACUGGGCGUAAAGCGCGCGUAGGCGGAUUGGAAAGUUGGGGGUGAAAUCCCGGGGCUCAACCCCGGAACUGCCUCCAAAACUGCCAGUCUAGAGUUCGAGAGAGGUGAGUGGAACUCCAAGUGUAGAGGUGAAAUUCGUAGAUAUUAGAAAGAAUACCAGUGGCGAAAGCGCUCUACUGGACCAUUACUGACACUCAGAGGCGAAAGCUAGGGUAGCAAAGGGGAUUAGAUA